rnacentral:rRNA from 1 species
AACGAACGCUGGCGGCAUGCCUAACACAUGCAAGUCGAGCGCCCCGCAAGGGGAGCGGCAGACGGGUGAGUAACGCGUGGGAACACACCCUUUGGUUCGGAAUAACUCAGGGAAACUUGAGCUAAUACCGGAUACGUCCGUAAGGAGAAAGAUUUAUCGCCAAAGGAUUGGCCCGCGUCCGAUUAGCUAGUUGGUGAGGUAACGGCUCACCAAGGCUACGAUCGGUAGCUGGUCUGAGAGGAUGAUCAGCCACAUUGGGACUGAGACACGGCCCAAACUCCUACGGGAGGCAGCAGUGGGGAAUAUUGGACAAUGGGGGCAACCCUGAUCCAGCAAUGCCGCGUGAGUGAUGAAGGCCUUAGGGUUGUAAAGCUCUUUUGCCAGGGAAGAUGAUGACUGUACCUGGAGAAUAAGCCCCGGCUAACUUCGUGCCAGCAGCCGCGGUAAU